rnacentral:rRNA from 1 species
CCGCUGAAUUUAAGCAUAUCACUAAGCGGAGGAAAAGAAACUAACCAGGAUUCCCCUAGUAACGGCGAGUGAAGAGGGAAAAGCCCAGCACCGAAGCCUGUGGCAGCUUUGCUACUAGGCAAUGUGGUGUUUAGGUCGGCUCGCGGGAUCGCCACUCCACUCGAAGUCCAGCCUUGAUUAUGGUUGCCAGGAAUUGGCCCAUAGCGGGUGAUAGGCCCGUACGGGUGGAGGUGUCAGAUGUGUAAGGCGAUUCACCAGGCCGGCCUUAGAGUCGGGUUGUUUGCGAUUGCAGCCCAAAGUGGGUGGUAAACUCCAUCCAAGGCUAAAUACUAGCACGAGUCCGAUAGCGAACAAGUACCGUGAGGGAAAGUUGAAAAGUACUUUGAAGAGAGAGUAAACAGUACGUGAAACCGCAUAGAGGUAAACGGGUGGCGUCAAGCUGCAAGCCCAGAGAAUUCAGUCGGUCAGGGUGUUGUUUCUGCGCCCAGCGCAGCUAUCAGUCGGUGUUCCGACUAGUCCGCCGGUAGAUGGCGGGCCCAGCUGUCACAGGCUGGGAUUUGCGUACCGAGUGUUGGUCGGAGCAAGCUAGUCAACCGUGGGACUGUCUGGCCGAUGCACUUUCUCUGUGGUGAACACCACGACCGGUGGAACUGCCAGUCUACCUUAGCCAGCUUCGUCGCACGCUCAGGCUUUCGUGGUCAGAGCGGGUGGCGAUCACGGGCAAUGUCAGUGCACGGUGCCUGCGGGUUUCCGCUCGUAGGCAUGUCAUCGGGUACUGGUUGUCAACGGGUCGGCCUGGACACUGUCCUGUAGUUGCAGUGUGCAUUCUGGGUGACUCGGUGGGCUAUGGCGGCAGGAGAAGCUGUGCAGGGCACCGGAGAUGUCGGUCUGUUUAUGACGGUCGCGCACGCACUACAGCUUGGCGUGUGUCAUGCAAGGCACUGAUAGCGUUGCCAGGGCCUGCCAACAUUCGGGUCUGAUCUUCGUGUCGCCUGUCAAAAUGACAGGUCCGAGGGUGGCCUGGUAUUGGAUGGUGCCCGUGGGCGGCGUCGUCGUCUUAGUGCGACCGUGCUGAGAGACCAGAUAGUCAGUGGUGUAGUGGUAGACGAGCUACCCGACCCGUCUUGAAACACGGACCAAGAAGUUCAACAUGCGCGCGAGUCAUGGGGUCGUACGAAACCCAAAGGCGCAAUGAAAGUGAAGCCGUGCUCUCUCUCUGCCUCCUAUCCAUGGAGGCCGGGCAUGGUGUGGUGAGAUCCCGCUGUUUCUCGCAUGCACUUGUUUGUGACGAGGACCGGCAGCUGGGUUGACUAGCUAUGUUGUCUCGUGCAACAGAACUAUGGACGAGCAGUGGGCGCAUCACCGGCCCGUCCCAUGAUGUGGCUACUGGUUUGCAGCGGCGGUUGGGCAACCGACUGCCUGUCUGUCCGGUACGUCAUCGGGGCGGAGCAUGAGCGCGCAUGUUGAGACCCGAAAGAUGGUGAACUAUGCUUGCGUAGGUUGAAGCCAGAGGAAACUCUGGUGGAGGACCGCAGCGAUUCUGACGUGCAAAUCGAUCGUCAAACGUGAGCAUAGGGGCGAAAGACUAAUCGAACCAUCUAGUAGCUGGUUCCCUCCGAAGUUUCCC